rnacentral:rRNA from 1 species
CCUACGGGUGGCAGCAGUGAGGAAUAUUGGUCAAUGGACGGAAGUCUGAACCAGCCAAGUCGCGUGAAGGAUGACGGCCCUAUGGGUUGUAAACUUCUUUUAUACGGGAAUAAAGUGAGUCACGUGUGGCUUUUUGCAUGUACCGUAUGAAUAAGGAUCGGCUAACUCCGUGCCAGCAGCCGCGGUAAUACGGAGGAUCCGAGCGUUAUCCGGAUUUAUUGGGUUUAAAGGGAGCGUAGGCUGUUAGUUAAGUCAGUUGUGAAAGGUCGCGGCUUAACCGUGUGACUGCAUUUGAUACUGGCAGCCUUGAGUGCGGUUGCGGUAGGCGGAAUUCGUGGUGUAGCGGUGAAAUGCUUAGAUAUCACGAAGAACUCCGAUUGCGAAGGCAGCCUACUAAACUGCCACUGACGCUGAUGCUCGAAAGUGUGGGUAGCGAACAGGAUUAGAUACCCUGGUAGUC